rnacentral:pre_miRNA from 1 species
UUCCACAUCACAUGAGGACCUUGUUCAAAUGAAGCUUAUGAUUCAGUAAUGCAGGGCUGAGGUCUGAAAUUUGGCAUUUUUAAUAAGCUCCUGGGUGAUUCUGAU